UAUAAUGUAGUAUCCUGCCAACUGAGCUAAACUCACGGGACAAGACAUAUUGUUAUUGCACACGAAAAUGUCUUGCAAUUAUAAGCUAAAAUGUAGUAUGAGAUUAUAUAAACCAUAACAAUAAUGCAAUUUAGGAUAUUUAACAUGUGUUUAUCAUGAUACUCUUCCUCGUCUUAUUCCGCAAGAAAACGGGUAAUUAAUGUAGAGAUAUGGUGGUAGAUAUAUAUUCUUUUUAAAUAAAAUUGUCAAAUACCCAAAUAAUCUUUUUUCCUCUUUCUUUGAUAUAUUAAAUUUACGAAUAAUAUAAGAUAUUUUUUAAAAAUAUCUUUAAUCAUAUCUCUUUUGU
rnacentral:lncRNA from 1 species